UGCUAUAUGGAAGUCGAUGGUUUAGUGUGUUCAAAUCAAACCUUCCUUUGUUGGCCGUAGACACCGUGGAUUUUCUCUACCUUCUUAGCUUGCUAGCUGUUUACUAAAUUUAAUGUCCUGGCCUUGGCUUCAAAGACUUUUAAGCUAUCUUCAGCCUGGUAGGAUUUCUUAUAUAGCUGGAUGGUGCUAUUGGAAGCCUGUUGUUGUAUCCCUGUGUUAUAUGUUAUGGUAUCCCUGUGUAAUAAUUAACAUAGACACCAGAGGAGGUACGAGUAGUAUCCCAAGUACCUUUGCGCGGUCAGGUUCCUCGUAAUGGCGGCUAGUUCUAGCCUGCUUGCAGGCGAUUACCCGGUGUUUUUUCGCAUUCGCUAUGCGCUAAGUCGUGGUCGCCAUUUUGUUUUUGGCCGCGCUAGCUUGGCGCGAGUGACAAAACGUGAGCGCUUUGCGCUUGUUCCAGCGCUCGCGCGGCCAGAACAAAACAAGAUGACGGCCACGACUCGGCGCAUAGCGAAAUAGCGAAAACACCGAUAAAACAUAGCAAAAAAAAAAAAAAAGAACGGGUAAACGCCUGCAAGCAGGCUACGGCUAGUUCCGGCUGGUUUAACCUUGUGUUAGUAAACGCUUGCGUUAUGAAGCGACCGUGACGCCACAAAAGGUAAGACCCCAGAUUGUCGUGCUAACAUUUCGUCAGCAGCUUAUCGCUACCGCACCCAUAAAUUGCAUAAACCUGUAAUCUGUCUUAACUUAUGGUUUUCUCAGGCUACUGGUACAUCAGUCUAUUCCUACUCCCUUUUUCUGUCAUUUGUAGAAUAUACAACAUAAACGUUGUCUACGCGUCGGAGCGCGAACUUUUUAUUUGACAUCGACAUUCACACAAGGCACACGAGACAUCUAUAAGCGAUAAUUACCCCGAUAUUCCCCCGAGAACACCACCAGAUCUCCCAAGCAAAAAUGUCAAGAGGGACCAAAAAGGUCAAAUGGUCAGACCAAAUGAACAAGGACCUCCUAGAAUGUAAGCGGAAUGCUUUGGAUUUGGUUGCGUCGGAUAAUGCUCCAAG